ensembl:lncRNA
GCUUGCAGUAUUUAUUGCCCGCUGCCGUACAGUUCACCUGUCAGUGUAAAGGUAUGAAAAAAGUUCAUCUGUCAUAUCUCGUUUAUGAUUCGUUUGCAUGUUGUAAAUGUUACUGUUUUUAUAUGGAGUCGUCACGCCGCUGCCAUAAGAAAAUGGCGGAUUUCACAGAUCAGACCUUUUUACCUUUGAUGAACCUCUGGAUAUAAGUGACAAUAAUCAUUUAUAAGCGCUGUUCUCAGCACAAAGAUCCCUGGACUGGAUCUUCAGAGUCAUUGUUGGAGAAUGUACUACUAUGUACUAUGUGUACUACUCGUUGUACAAAAGGAAGUUUUUCCUUGCCGCUGUCGCUUUUGGCUUGCUCACGGGGGUAUGAAGGCACUGUAAAGCUGUUGAUGUGUGAUUGCAUGUUUUGCUGCAUGUUAUAUCAAAUCUGUGACACAAAUGCCAAUGUUUGGCUUGGUUGAGAAGAUAAUCAAGCAUCAUUUUUGGCUCACAUCAGGGCGAGAUCAUAGAUACUUCAUACUUGCGUGUCCAUGUGAUCUCCUUCCAUCAUCAUCUCGUUCAUGUGCAUUUUCCGAUGACGAAAUUUCUUGCAUCAUCUUUUGCUCACAUCGGCGCAAUAUUGUUCUUCAUUUCAUGUUUGAUUUAUCUGUGUUUUAUACUUGCACAUCCACGUCAUCUCCUGAUAUUAUGGAGGACCCCAGUGGAGCCAAAGUGUUGGAGGGUCCAGACGCAGCCAAAGGCCCAGAAGUCCAUGUUGGAGCCAACAUCCCUCGCCCCGAAAGACCAAGGCAGAGCCAUAGAGACGAAUGACACCAGCAGAGCCAGAGGAAUCACAGAGUCAUCAUCUUGUUCAUGUGCAUUUUAUUAUUUUGGAUUAUUUUGCGUGUAUAUUUGGCUCAUAUAGGAGUGAGGUAGUUCUCCUUCUCAUGUUUCAGUCAUUGUAUUUUCAUAUUUGCAUAUAUCUCCACAUAUUUUUCUGCUUUCCAGCGUCUCCUUCAUGUGCACUUUCUUAUUUUAGAUUUUUUUUUGUGUGUCAUCUUUGACUCACUUCGGAGUAAUAUAGUUCUUCCUCUUAUCUUUGAGUCAUCAGUGUUUUAUACUUACAUCUUUGCAUCAUCUCCUUAAAUUUCUUGUCUUCUUGUUUUUUUUUUUACAUCAUCUUUGGCUCACAUCAGGCUGAGAUAUUUCUCCCUCUAAUGUUUGAGUCUUGCGUAUUUAUGAAUCGUGUAAUUUCCAAAUAUUCAGCAUCUCCUCAUCUGAAUCUCGUUCAAGCAGUUUUUUAUUUUGAAUUUUCUCAUGUCAUCUUUGGCUCAUAUCGGAUGACUCAUGUUGAGUCAUCAUACUUGGGGUUUUCUACUUUUCAACAUUUUCUUCAUGUGCAUAUUCCUAUUUUGAAUUUUUCUUGCGUCAUAUUUGGCUCACAUCAGGGUGAGAUAUUUUUCCCAAUCAUGUUCGAAUCUUAUAAUUGUGUUUCCCUUUCAUAGGUCACUUCGA